AGAAAAUAGAUACCCGGGUAGUCCACGCCCUAAACGAUGCAUAUUUGGUGUGGGUCAUUCAGUUGAUCCGUGCCGGAGCUAAACGCGUUAAAUAUGCCGCCUGGGGAGUACAGUCGCAAGGCUGAAACUCAAAGGAAUUGACGGGGGCCGGCACAAGCGGUGGAGCAUGUGGUUCAAUUCGUACGCAACGCGAAGAACCUUACCUGGGCGUCGAACGGGUAGUCAACGGCGGUGGAAACAUCGCUACCCCGCCAAGGGGGUCGUAUUCGAGGUGCUGCAUGGCUGUCGUCAGCUCGUGUCGUGAGAUGUUGGGUUAAGUCCCGCAACGAGCGCAACCCUUGUCCUGUGUUGCCAUCAUUCAGUUGGGGUAACUCGCAGGAGACCGCCAGCGAUAAGCUGGAGGAAGGUGGGGAUGACGUCAAGUCCUCAUGGCCUUUAUGUCCAGGGCUACACA
rnacentral:rRNA from 1 species